ACAAGAAGGAAUCAGGAGGCAGAGCACAUGGUUAAAGCAUGAGAUGUGAAACCAGGAAGAACCAGGUCUGAACCUUAGCUCCACCAGUGGUAGCCCCAAACCUUGGUCCUUUCUGAGCCUGCUUCUUCAACCCUAAGGUGUGACUACAUUGAGCAGUAACAGCAAAACCUGAAAGAGAAUGGAUACAGGUGUUCAUUUCAGAUGGUACAAGUUUAACAAAGUACAAGAGCAACUUAAGGAACUCGGAAACGGGACCCAGAAAGUUGUUUUCUGCAAGUGGAUGGAACAACACAAGCAAUCAGUAUCCUGAAACAGGCCCUGUUCCAACAAACUGACCCAGAAAGAGGUUAUACCAAUUAUCUCUCCAGCAAGUAUGAGGACUCCUGUUUCCCUACGUACUCACUACUACAGCAAAGAUAUCAAACAUUGAUACCCACCAAUCUCUGGAUGGAAAAACAAAUCUCAGGAAUCGCUUGCAGGAGGCUCUGCACGUUCCUCAGAUUCAGAGUCACUGUCCUUUUGCCUGUGAAGCUCCUCACUUUCAGAGUCACUAGCAUUAAGAUUUAAGGGCUCAUCAUUCUCAGAGUCUGUCACAUGAUGUCCUUUGGGGAGGCCAUCUUCUCGAUCACUAGUUUCAUU
rnacentral:antisense_RNA from 1 species